UUUCUUCUCUCUCGUCUGGUAUCUCUUUCUCAAUCUCUCUUCUGGUAUUUUCUUCAUCAAUCGUAAGAAACAAAAAUAGAAAAAUAAAAUUAGAGGGAAGAAUUCUAGUAGAGCAUACCAGUAGCAAAUUAGGUGAUGCACCACCUUCAUUAGAUGCUUAGCGUGUUCAAGUUUCUUAAUCAAUGGUGGCUGCGGAAUCGGGAUGUGAUGUAGUUGGAGAAGAGUCGGUUGCAACACCUAACAAAAUCAUUAAGCGUUGCAUUAGCCAAAGAGAAGCCAUGUGCGCUUCUGUUUCACUAGCUUAAAGACGAAGACCCAAUAAAAUUGAUAAGAUAUUCAGCUCCAAUAAAAAAGCAUCAUUGAAGGAGAGCAAAUAAAUGAAACUGAUAUUUAGAAUGAGGUUCUUGGAAUAAGAUUUCAAAGGAGAGAAUCCGGAAGAUGCAAGCAGAUUACGAAUCCGGAAGAGAUUUAAUAUCUAGAUGAAUUUCUAUUUAUGCUGGUUUUAUUAUUUUUAGGUUUGACGAAUAAAGAAAAUUGAACGAAUUUUUGAUAUUA